AUUUUUUAAAACUAUAUAUAGGGUUAUAAUUGUAGAUGAUGGUAAUCAUUUUAAACCAAUGAUAAUAUGCAAUGAUUAUGUGUGUGUGUAUAGAUCAGAGAUAUUGAUAGUUUAGUAAUUGGGCGGUGGGUGAUUAAAAAAUAUAUGGGUCAAUAUAAAUUGUACGCGUUGAGAGAGCAGCUAGGGUCAGAGGAAACCCAAACCGGGAAAGGAAGAUGGUCAAAAAUAUUAAAUUUAAUGACAGAUUCUUGGUGCCUUUCGAUUCUAUUUUGAGCAUAAAUCUCAAUUCGAUGCUGUAAGAGCGGAUCCUAAUAUCAUUAAAUUCUAAAAGAAAUGCUUUGCUUUUGUGCUAUCUCUGCUGUCCCUUGAGAGAGACUUUAUAAAUAAGGAAUAGUUAUAUGACUAUCACUUCACUUUGCAACCGUAUUCUUAAUCGGACGCCCACUUCUUACGUGCACUCGCACUCUACAUACGACAUGCACUCUUCAUUCCAGCUAGUUACCACAUACAAAACUCCAAAUUCUUCAUCAGAAAAUUUUGAUAAUUGAGCUGCACAAAAUGUCUUAAUCAAAAUUGGUUUUAAUUAUAGAAAUUUAAUUAAAUGGCUAGCUAUAUUAAGAGACUCAUUUUCUUUUUCUUUUGAAUUUAAAAAAAAAAAUGAAAACUAAGUGCGACGGUAAUAUAUCAUUGAAGCUAUGCUUACUUUACUAUAAACUGGCAAUGAAGCUAGCUUAUAGUGAUUUUAAAUAUGUCAGGCAUAUUUCUAUUGAGUGUGGGGAAGAAAUGAUAAAUUAAUGAACAAAUUCAUCUAAUAAUUGAUUAUAUAAUAAUAUAAUAAUAAUUAAUCAACCCUUCAAUCGUAGUUUAUGAUUUAUGAACAUUCCCUCGCAAGUCAAGGUCUAUAGAUAGACCAAACUCAGUGACCCUUCUUGUGUUUGAAGGAAUCAAAGAUUAGACCAAUCCAAUUUUGCACGAAUGAGUGGCGAUGCUCGUGGCCACGGUCACCAGUUACACGUUUUCUUGGCUUCUUGCUUUGCUGUCGGCUUUGUGACAGUGAUUGGUUUAUUAUAGCAUCAGCGCAUCAUCAGCAGUAGCAGCAGUCACUAAAAGGCUCCUAAUUAUGGAUGAGGUGGGCCUCACGCUGCCGGAAAUCUUGUCUCACUUUUGCGAGUCGAAUGGGCCAGCGGUGGGCUAUGGUUAAGAAAGUGGCCCGAGCACAACAAGUAGACACGGAACUGUCAGUGUGAUUAAGCUUUGGGCCUGAUCUGGGGCCAGUAUUUGCUAUUAUUUCUACUCACGCCCCCAUUGGGGGACCCCCCUUUUAUAUAUAUAUAUAUAUAUCUGCCCCCGGGAUGCGUAUGGUGGACCAUAAUCCAUGGUCGACAAAAUUGGUACCUAAUUUUACGUAUGCUUGAAAAGAUCCAAUACACCAUUAUAUGCGAUUCGUAUAUAUGCAUUAAUUUUUUUUUUUCUAAAGAAAACUUAAAUUAACUUACUUUAGUAAUGUAAUCAUGUUAUUGACGCCAUGGACCUGGAAUCACUGUCAUCAUUAAAUUAGCACAAGAGACAUGGCUUGAGAUUGAUCUAUUUUGCGUUCAAUCCCAUAUUAGGCGAGAUUAAUGUAAUUGGGACAUUACUUAAAUGAUAAUUUAAUUGUUCAUGUACUUAUGAGAUCAAUUAAAAAAAUUAGAAAUAUGUAAAAUAAUGUAAAAAAAUCAAAAUGAACAGAAAAAUCGAUUAGUUUAGUAUUAUGAGCUGAUCCAUAAGAGUUUAAUUUUUUGAAGCUCUUUAUCAAAAUUUAAUGUCUUUUUCCGAUUUAAGUUGGAUUUUUUCAAUGACCAACAAUGAAACCAAAUCAAUUAGUCCGUUUAAAUUAAUCAAGUCGAUUCAUUUUGAUUUUAUGACUAUCUUUCCUAAUAUUAACUUUCUCAACUUCUACCCUUCCACAACCCCACAUAAAAAGAAAUAAAAAUUAAAAUAUUUUAAGAAGAAUUAUAGAGUCUAACCUUACAUCAAAUCUCACAAUAUUAAAUAGAGUAAUGAUAUAGCCACAAACUCUUGUACAAACUGAUGUGGCAUGAUAAAAUUAGUUGAAUUAAAUAUCUCUUGGCCUACAUGAUUUAUUUAUCUUAUUUUAUAUUUUUAUUUAACUAAUGAAUUAAUGCCACAUCAAUUUGUACAAGAGUUUGUGAUUGUAUUAUCACUAUAUUAAAUAAAGAGUAAUGAUAUAGCCAUAAACUCUUGUACAAACU
rnacentral:lncRNA from 1 species